UAGAGUUUGAUCCUGGCUCAGAUCCCUCGCUGGCGGCAGGCUUAACACAUGCAAGUCGGGCGGUAGCAGGGAGAAAGCUUGCUUUCUCCGCUGACGAGCGGCGGACGGGUGAGUAAUGUCUGGGGAUCUGCCUGAUGGAGGGGGAUAACUACUGGAAACGGUAGCUAAUACCGCAUACCGUCACAAGACCAAAGUGGGGGACCUUCGGGCCUCAUGCCGUCAGAUGAACCCAGAUGGGAUUAGCUAGUAGGGGGGUAAUGGCUCACCUAGGCAACGAUCCCUAGCUGGUCUGAGAGGAUGACCAGCCACACUGGAACUGAGACACGGUCCAGACUCCUACGGGAGGCAGCAGUGGGGAAUAUUGCACAAUGGGCGCAAGCCUGAUGCAGCCAUGCCGCGUGUAUGAAGAAGGCCUUCGGGUUGUAAAGUACUUUCAGUAAGGAGGAAGGUGUGAUCGUUAAUAGCGUUCACAAGUGACGUUACUUACAGAAGAAGCACCGGCUAACUCCGUGCCAGCAGCCGCGGUAAUACGGAGGGUGCAAGCGUUAAUCGGAAUUACUGGGCGUAAAGCGCACGCAGGCGGUUUGUUAAGUUAGAUGUGAAAUCCCCGGGCUCAACCUGGGAAUUGCAUCCAAGACUGUCCAGCUAGAGUCUCGUAGAGGGAGGUAGAAUUCCAGGUGUAGCGGUGAAAUGCGUAGAGAUCUGGAGGAAUACCGGUGGCGAAGGCGGCCUCCUGGACGAAGACUGACGCUCAGGUGCGAAAGCGUGGGGAGCAAACAGGA
rnacentral:rRNA from 1 species